UGGGGAAUAUUGGACAAUGGGCGAAAGCCUGAUCCAGCCAUGCCGCGUGUGUGAAGAAGGCCUUUUGGUUGUAAAGCACUUUAAGUGGGGAGGAAAAGCUUGUGGUUAAUACCCAUAAGCCCUGACGUUACCCACAGAAUAAGCACCGGCUAACUCUGUGCCAGCAGCCGCGGUAAUACAGAGGGUGCAAGCGUUAAUCGGAAUUACUGGGCGUAAAGCGCGCGUAGGUGGUUAUUUAAGUCAGAUGUGAAAGCCCCGGGCUUAACCUGGGAACUGCAUCUGAUACUGGAUAACUAGAGUAGGUGAGAGGGGAGUAGAAUUCCAGGUGUAGCGGUGAAAUGCGUAGAGAUCUGGAGGAAUACCGAUGGCGAAGGCAGCUCCCUAGCAUCAUACUGACACUGAGGUGCGAAAGCGUGGGUAGCAAACAGGAUUAGAUACCCUGGUAGUCCACGCCGUAAACGAUGUCUACCAGUCGUUGGGUCUUUUAAAGACUUAGUGACGCAGUUAACGCAAUAAGUAGACCGCCUGGGGAGUACGGCCGCAAGGUUA
rnacentral:rRNA from 1 species